rnacentral:rRNA from 1 species
UUAGAGUUUGAUCAUGGCUCAGAUUGAACGCUGGCGGCAGGCCUAACACAUGCAAGUCGAGCGGAUGACAGGAGCUUGCUCCUGAAUUCAGCGGCGGACGGGUGAGUAAUGCCUAGGAAUCUGCCUGGUAGUGGGGGACAACGUUUCGAAAGGAACGCUAAUACCGCAUACGUCCUACGGGAGAAAGCAGGGGACCUUCGGGCCUUGCGCUAUCAGAUGAGCCUAGGUCGGAUUAGCUAGUUGGUGAGGUAAUGGCUCACCAAGGCGACGAUCCGUAACUGGUCUGAGAGGAUGAUCAGUCACACUGGAACUGAGACACGGUCCAGACUCCUACGGGAGGCAGCAGUGGGGAAUAUUGGACAAUGGGCGAAAGCCUGAUCCAGCCAUGCCGCGUGUGUGAAGAAGGUCUUCGGAUUGUAAAGCACUUUAAGUUGGGAGGAAGGGCAGUAACUUAAUACGUUGCUGUUUUGACGUUACCGACAGAAUAAGCACCGGCUAACUCUGUGCCAGCAGCCGCGGUAAUACAGAGGGUGCAAGCGUUAAUCGGAAUUACUGGGCGUAAAGCGCGCGUAGGUGGUUUGUUAAGUUGGAUGUGAAAGCCCCGGGCUCAACCUGGGAACUGCAUUCAAAACUGACAAGCUAGAGUAUGGUAGAGGGUGGUGGAAUUC